rnacentral:rRNA from 1 species
CCUACGGGUGGCAGCAGUGAGGAAUAUUGGUCAAUGGACGAGAGUCUGAACCAGCCAAGUAGCGUGAAGGAUGACUGCCCUAUGGGUUGUAAACUUCUUUUAUAUGGGAAUAAAACGUUCCACGUGUGGGCUUUUGUAUGUACCAUAUGAAUAAGGAUCGGCUAACUCCGUGCCAGCAGCCGCGGUAAUACGGAGGAUCCGAGCGUUAUCCGGAUUUAUUGGGUUUAAAGGGAGCGUAGGUGGAUUGUUAAGUCAGUUGUGAAAGUUUGCGGCUCAACCGUAAAAUUGCAGUUGAAACUGGAAGUCUUGAGUAUAGUAGAGGUGGGCGGAAUGCGUGGUGUAGCGGUGAAAUGCUUAGAUAUCACGAAGAACUCCGAUUGCGAAGGCAGUUAACUGAACUGUAACUGACACUGAGGCUCGAAAGUGUGGGGAUCAAACAGGAUUAGAUACCCGUGUAGUC